CAAGUCGAGCGAAUGAUAGGGAGCUUGCUCCCUUGAUUUAGCGGCGGACGGGUGAGUAACACGUGGGCAACCUACCUGUAAGACUGGGAUAACUUCGGGAAACCGGAGCUAAUACCGGAUAAUUUCUUUUCUCGCAUGAGAAGAGAUGGAAAGACGGUUUCGGCUGUCACUUACAGAUGGGCCCGCGGCGCAUUAGCUAGUUGGUGAGGUAAUGGCUCACCAAGGCCACGAUGCGUAGCCGACCUGAGAGGGUGAUCGGCCACACUGGGACUGAGACACGGCCCAGACUCCUACGGGAGGCAGCAGUAGGGAAUCUUCCGCAAUGGACGAAAGUCUGACGGAGCAACGCCGCGUGAACGAAGAAGGCCUUCGGGUCGUAAAGUUCUGUUGUUAGGGAAGAACAAGUACCAGAGUAACUGCUGGUACCUUGACGGUACCUAACCAGAAAGCCACGGCUAACUACGUGCCAGCAGCCGCGGUAAUACGUAGGUGGCAAGCGUUGUCCGGAAUUAUUGGGCGUAAAGCGCGCGCAGGUGGUUCCUUAAGUCUGAUGUGAAAGCCCACGGCUCAACCGUGGAGGGUCAUUGGAAACUGGGGAACUUGAGUGCAGAAGAGGAAAGUGGAAUUCCAAGUGUAGCGGUGAAAUGCGUAGAGAUUUGGAGGAACACCAGUGGCGAAGG
rnacentral:rRNA from 1 species